AUUGAACGCUGGCGGCAUGCCUUACACAUGCAAGUCGAACGGUAACAGGGAGCUUGCUCCGCUGACGAGUGGCGAACGGGUGAGUAAAGUAUCGGAACGUACCUUUCAGUGGGGGAUAACGCAGCGAAAGUUGCGCUAAUACCGCAUAUUCUGUGAGCAGGAAAGCAGGGGAUCGCAAGACCUUGCGCUGAUUGAGCGGCCGAUAUCAGAUUAGCUAGUUGGUGAGGUAAAGGCUCACCAAGGCGACGAUCUGUAGCGGGUCUGAGAGGAUGAUCCGCCACACUGGAACUGAGACACGGGUCCAGACUCCUACGGGAGGCAGCAGUGGGAAUUUUGGACAAUGGGGGCAACCCUGAUCCAGCCAUGCCGCGUGAGGGACGACGGCCUCGGUAGUAACGUACUUUAGUCUAGG
rnacentral:rRNA from 1 species